AUGCUCGUUUCUAGAAGAAAGACGCUAGGGCAACCAACCAUGGAUUUUAAUCUUUUUCGGUUUUCAAUUCGAGUUUUGGCAUUACGGUACUGGUUAGGUUUUGGUUUUAAGCUUAUGUUAAUAAGCGCGUUUCGCACUGCCCAGCUUGCUUCAGAAUUGUGUUCAUGCUUUGGUAGCAGGAUUUGGACUAGUUUAUGUGCUGGUCCAUUUAGUGGUCCAACAGCUGGUUGGUUUGGUGGUCGGGUCUGCUUUUGGGCAUGA
rnacentral:lncRNA from 1 species